GGGUUGUGAGGUUAAGCGACUAAGCGUACACGGUGGAUGCCCUGGCAGUCAGAGGCGAUGAAGGACGUGCUAAUCUGCGAUAAGCGCCGGUAAGGUGAUAUGAACCGUUAUAACCGGCGAUUUCCGAAUGGGGAAACCCAGUGUGAUUCGUCACACUAUCAUUAACUGAAUCCAUAGGUUAAUGAGGCGAACCGGGGGAACUGAAACAUCUAAGUACCCCGAGGAAAAGAAAUCAACCGAGAUUCCCCCAGUAGCGGCGAGCGAACGGGGAGGAGCCCAGAGCCUGAAUCAGCAUGUGUGUUAGUGGAAGCGUCUGGAAAGGCGCGCGAUACAGGGUGACAGCCCCGUACACAAAAGCGCAUGUGCUGUGAGCUCGAUGAGUAGGGCGGGACACGUGGUAUCCUGUCUGAAUAUGGGGGGACCAUCCUCCAAGGCUAAAUACUCCUGACUGACCGAUAGUGAACCAGUACCGUGAGGGAAAGGCGAAAAGAACCCCGGCGAGGGGAGUGAAAAAGAACCUGAAACCGUGUACGUACAAGCAGUGGGAGCCCCACCACUAAGCCAGUGGUGAACUCCACAUACGCAUCCUUUGCUGAGGAUACGGUUAACGGAGCGAAAGCGACGUUCAACCGCAAAAGAAGCAGAGGGGGCUUAGUGGUGGGGUGACUGCGUACCUUUUGUAUAAUGGGUCAGCGACUUAUAUUCUGUAGCAAGGUUAACCGUAUAGGGGAGCCGGAGGGAAACCGAGUCUUAACCGGGCGUUAAGUUGCAGGGUAUAGACCCGAAACCCGGUGAUCUAGCCAUGGGCAGGUUGAAGGUUGGGUAACACUAACUGGAGGACCGAACCGACUAAUGUUGAAAAAUUAGCGGAUGACCUGUGGCUGGGGGUGAAAGGCCAAUCAAACCGGGAGAUAGCUGGUUCUCCCCGAAAGCUAUUUAGGUAGCGCCUCGUGAAUUCAUCUCCGGGGGUAGAGCACUGUUUCGGCUAGGGGGCCAUCCCGGCUUACCAACCCGAUGCAAACUGCGAAUACCGGAGAAUGUUAUCACGGGAGACACACGGCGGGUGCUAACGUCCGUCGUGAAGAGGGAAACAACCCAGACCGCCAGCUAAGGUCCCAAAGUCAUGGUUAAGUGGGAAACGAUGUGGGAAGGCCCAGACAGCCAGGAUGUUGGCUUAGAAGCAGCCAUCAUUUAAAGAAAGCGUAAUAGCUCACUGGUCGAGUCGGCCUGCGCGGAAGAUGUAACGGGGCUAAACCAUGCACCGAAGCUGCGGCAGCGACACUCAGGUGUUGUUGGGUAGGGGAGCGUUCUGUAAGCCUGUGAAGGUGGCCUGUGAGGGUUGCUGGAGGUAUCAGAAGUGCGAAUGCUGACAUAAGUAACGAUAAAGCGGGUGAAAAGCCCGCUCGCCGGAAGACCAAGGGUUCCUGUCCAACGUUAAUCGGGGCAGGGUGAGUCGACCCCUAAGGCGAGGCCGAAAGGCGUAGUCGAUGGGAAACGGGUUAAUAUUCCCGUACUUGGUGUUACUGCGAAGGGGGGACGGAGAAGGCUAUGUUGGCCGGGCGACGGUUGUCCCGGUUUAAGCGUGUAGGUGUGUGUUCCAGGUAAAUCCGGUUCACUUUAACACUGAGGCGUGACGACGAGGCACUACGGUGCUGAAGCAACAAAUGCCCUGCUUCCAGGAAAAGCCUCUAAGCAUCAGGUAACAUCAAAUCGUACCCCAAACCGACACAGGUGGUCAGGUAGAGAAUACCAAGGCGCUUGAGAGAACUCGGGUGAAGGAACUAGGCAAAAUGGUGCCGUAACUUCGGGAGAAGGCACGCUGACACGUAGGUGAAGUGAUUUACUCAUGGAGCUGAAGUCAGUCGAAGAUACCAGCUGGCUGCAACUGUUUAUUAAAAACACAGCACUGUGCAAACACGAAAGUGGACGUAUACGGUGUGACGCCUGCCCGGUGCCGGAAGGUUAAUUGAUGGGGUCAGCGCAAGCGAAGCUCCUGAUCGAAGCCCCGGUAAACGGCGGCCGUAACUAUAACGGUCCUAAGGUAGCGAAAUUCCUUGUCGGGUAAGUUCCGACCUGCACGAAUGGCGUAAUGAUGGCCAGGCUGUCUCCACCCGAGACUCAGUGAAAUUGAACUCGCUGUGAAGAUGCAGUGUACCCGCGGCAAGACGGAAAGACCCCGUGAACCUUUACUAUAGCUUGACACUGAACAUUGAGCCUUGAUGUGUAGGAUAGGUGGGAGGCUUUGAAGUGUGGACGCCAGUCUGCAUGGAGCCGACCUUGAAAUACCACCCUUUAAUGUUUGAUGUUCUAACGUGGACCCGUUACCCGGGUUGCGGACAGUGUCUGGUGGGUAGUUUGACUGGGGCGGUCUCCUCCUAAAGAGUAACGGAGGAGCACGAAGGUUGGCUAAUCCUGGUCGGACAUCAGGAGGUUAGUGCAAUGGCAUAAGCCAGCUUGACUGCGAGCGUGACGGCGCGAGCAGGUGCGAAAGCAGGUCAUAGUGAUCCGGUGGUUCUGAAUGGAAGGGCCAUCGCUCAACGGAUAAAAGGUACUCCGGGGAUAACAGGCUGAUACCGCCCAAGAGUUCAUAUCGACGGCGGUGUUUGGCACCUCGAUGUCGGCUCAUCACAUCCUGGGGCUGAAGUAGGUCCCAAGGGUAUGGCUGUUCGCCAUUUAAAGUGGUACGCGAGCUGGGUUUAGAACGUCGUGAGACAGUUCGGUCCCUAUCUGCCGUGGGCGCUGGAGAACUGAGGGGGGCUGCUCCUAGUACGAGAGGACCGGAGUGGACGCAUCACUGGUGUUCGGGUUGUCAUGCCAAUGGCACUGCCCGGUAGCUAAAUGCGGAAGAGAUAAGUGCUGAAAGCAUCUAAGCACGAAACUUGCCCCGAGAUGAGUUCUCCCUGAGACUUUAGGUCUCCUGAAGGAACGUUGAAGACGACGACGUUGAUAGGCCGGGUGUGUAAGCGCAGCGAUGCGUUGAGCUAACCGGUACUAAUGAACCGUGAGGCUUAACCUUACAACGCCGAAG
rnacentral:rRNA from 1 species